GCCAGGUCCAGCAGAUCCGGGACGUGCCCUGCGAGCAGAUAAGCUGGACAAGCACGUUUGCUUUAGGGCUGUUUACGGGGCAAAGUCUGAAACGAGAUGCUCGGCCCCACUGAGCCCCGAGGGCGGGACAGGACGUCCACACGAGGCCAAAGGGUCAACCGUCUCCAGAGCCCACCGAGCCACUCGGAGGGGCAGCAAGGAGACCCUCUCCCCUGCACUGCCAGGCACUGCUCCUCCCCAAGCAGCAGCCUUCGCUUCGGCCGAGGAAAGGCUGUGGGAGCGGGAGGGGGUCAGGGAAGCUCCCGGGCGGAGCAUGGCCCGGGGCCCGGGGCCCGGGGCCCAGGGAGGCAUCCGCGAGGCCCUCUCACUGGCCACCUCUGGCCCGUCUCAAGCUGUGUCGGGCACAGGCACUGCCCACAUCUGAACUUUGAGGGUCCUAACUGCAGCGGCUGCAAUCGAGGGACCCGGCCGGGGGCGGGGCAGACGGCGGGGGCCCGGGGGGAGCUCGUGAGGUGACGAGGGCCAAGCAGCUGCUCUGAGGCCCCAGGCCGUGUAGGAACCGUGGCCCUCGCCCCAGGCGGAGGCUCACUGACCACCAUCCUGCCCAGCAGGGAAGAGCAGGUGGCGGCCUCCUGCUGGGCAGAGCAAACCCGCUCUCCGCAUCGCCUCCGUCCCACUUCCCGCCAAGCUCGCCGCCAGAACGCGGGACAGCCCAGGAUUCUGGACGGAGAGGCGCAGGGCCUCCCGGGGAGAAGGGCCAUUAAAAGGCGACCAAAACUUCACGAGCAGCUGAAACUGACGGUAACGGGUGCUUUCUCCAACGCCACCAAGCAAUGAACACGGGUCCCCUGGGGGUGGCGUCAGCCCCACAAGAGGCCCCCGCCCCCGACCCGGUCGCAGGCCCAGGUCAUCACCGGGCGGUACACCCGGGGCUGCGGGACCCUCCUCAGGUGGUGUGACCUUGCUGGAGGGGCUCGCAGAACUCAGAGCACAGGCCCCCCUGCAGCUCACCAGCCCAUCAAAAGCAUCCAACGGGGGAACAAGCAGGGGGACGAGACCGGGGACCCACAGCUCCGCGGGUGACGGCCCAGCUGGACGCUCCCAAAGCCUGGGGGUCUCCGCACGCAGGGAUUGGAUCCGGCCCCCCCCGCCUCCCCGGACAACCACAGCCCUUCGGGGUUUGAGGAAAGAUACGCCCUUAUCAGGAAUCAAGCAGCCGAGCCCCGCAGCGCAGAGCCCCUGCCGGCUGCCCUGGGGGUCAUGGGCCUAGAGCGGGUCUGGACAGCUUCCCACGCUGUUUUCCCAUCUGGGCCGCAGGAUAACCCCUGAAGGAGGGGAGCCCGUCCAGUCAGGGCGGCCGAGGAGCCAGGCCCUCCCCGCCGGCCCCUCUGCCUGCGGACCUGGCCCUGGACGGUGGGAGAACCUCACAGCGCUGCGGGCCCCCUCGCGGCCAGCUGGGGUCAGCCCAAAUGUUGUGCUGCAAUGGCCCUCACGGCACUGACACCCACCAGCACGGGCCCUGGCGACCUGGAGCGCCGACACCGUGCCCAGGUGCUGCACGGCCCCCCCAAGACCCACCCCCAGCACAGCCAUCACCUCCUGUGCCUCAAAACCUCUCCCUGGCUGAUGCCUGACUCCUGGAAGCGAGAAAGCAGCUACAGAAACGCUCCAAGGCGCACCCCCAGGCCGCGGGCCUUUUCUGGGCUGCGAUGCUGGGACCAGCACUCGGCCAACAGCGCAGGAAGCGGCCGGAGAGAAAAGGCCCGGGCCUCUGUGCGAAUGCACGAGCCCUCUGGACGCGCCUGCAACCAGGCAGCUCCCACGGCCCCCUCCUGGCCCAGGCAUCCUGGACACUUUCACACCCUUGGGGAAAGCAGGUAAAGGCCAUUCCUCCACACCUGAGCUGAGGCAGCGGGAGGCCCAGGUCAAAGGUAGCAGUAAAACGAGACAAAAACCCAA